rnacentral:lncRNA from 1 species
UUAGCCUACCUAUUGUAUUAAAAGCACAUCUUUUUCGCAUUAUUCACACACUCAGUAUUCGCUGCUUCAACUUCAGUAGCCUACCUCUCCGAAGAAUCACGUGGCAGUUAAAUUGAAUGUGAAAUGAACUUAAAUAUGAUUAGACUGUAGCUUACUACGUUGUCUGUAAAUAAAUAUUGAUCAUGAAAAGAAGUGGAGGGCGCUCAACCAACAUGAGUCGAAGUGCAAUCAAAAAAAUUUAAGACAACGCACACAUAUUAGGCUACUAUGGUGAGCGAGCAUUGCACCUUUUCAUUUCCAAUAAGUAACCCAUUUAUUUGUCUCUGCCUGCAAAUCGUCCUUCGAAAAGCAGUUUGCAUCCCUGAGAGAAGAAUGGGAGAAACUCCCCAAAAACAGGUGUGCCAAGCUUGUAGCGUCAUACCCAAGAAGAGUCGAGGCUGUAAUCACUGCCAAAGUGGAAUGACACAGACAGAAACUAGCGUCUCACUCUGGGAUCGGAGCGAGGAGGAAUUUUUGAAACAAGCAAACGGCAGUCGGUGGAUCCAAUCUGUUCCUCCCCAUCUGGUGUUCUUGUUUUCCGCCGCCCCCACCACAUUGUAUCCUCGCUGCCACAGCCACAAUCGUUUCCUAGCCACUCACAGACAGAUAACACACAACUAGCUGGGCGGCACUCGGUCUCACCUUUUAUAACAGACACACACACACACACACCAACACAGAUGCAUACACACACAUAAAGUGUUUAUCUGUAAAAAAUUAUUAUAAAGAACAGCAUCACUCCCAGACAGUUUAUUGCUGGUAGAUAUACAGUACCAGUCAACAGUUUGGAC